rnacentral:rRNA from 1 species
CGAUAGCGUAUAUUAAAGUUGUUGCAGUUAAAAAGCUCGUAGUUGGAUUUCGGGGCAGCCUGGCUGGUCCGCCGCAAGGCGAGUACUGGUCAGCCGCCCUUCCUCUCGAAAGCCCCGACUGCUCUUUAUUGCAGUGGUCGGGUAGUUCGGGACGUUUACUUUGAAAAAAUUAGAGUGUUCAAGGCAGGCCUACGCCUGAAUACAUUAGCAUGGAAUAAUGGAAGAGGACCUCGGUCCUAUUUUGUUGGUUUCCAGGACCGAAGUAAUGAUUAAGAGGGACAGUUGGGGGCAUUCGUAUUUAAUCGUCAGAGGUGAAAUUCUCGGAUUUAUGAAAGACGAACAACUGCGAAAGCAUUUGCCAAGGAUGUUUUCAUUAA